rnacentral:rRNA from 1 species
UACGUAGGGAGCAAGCGUUGUCCGGAAUCAUUGGGCGUAAAGAGCGUGUAGGCGGCCAAACAGGUCAGCUGUGAAAACUCGAGGCUCAACCUCGAGCUGUCGGUGGAAACCGUGUGGCUAGAGUCCGGAAGAGGAGAGUGGAAUUCCCGGUGUAGCGGUGAAAUGCGCAGAUAUCGGGAAGAACACCCGUGGCGAAGGCGGCUCUCUGGGACGGUACUGACGCUGAGACGCGAAAGCGUGGGGAGCGAACAGG